AGGAGGAGAGACCAUCCACGACUAUUAGAGGCUUGGGGGGAGGCCAGGAGGAGAGACCGUCCAUGACUGUUAGCAGCUUGGGGGGAGGUCAGAAGGAGAGACCGUCCAUGACUGGUAGCGGCUUGGGGGGAGGCCAGGAGGAGAGACCGUCCAUGAUUGUUAGCGGCUUGGGGGGAGGUCAGGAGGAGAGACCGUCCAUGACUGGUAGCGGCUUGGGGGGAGGCCAGGAGGAGAGACCGUCCA